UUGUAAAAGGUUUAGAGACGCGGGCAACAUUGCAGGGGAUACUUCGGCAAGGGCGAAACUGUGAUCGCGUGAGGGCUUCUUAGGAACACAGGGACACGGAAAAGAAAAAAACGGAACUCAGAAUCUAGUUCCAAAAUGUCCGGAGGCCGACCAACAUCGACGAUGUCUCAAGCGACAGUGACAUCACACGCGCCAGCCCCGCGAGCAGAGCAGUGUUCGUAUGGGAUACGGCAGGUCAUUUUCACAGGCCCUGACGGCAUCAGCAAUCAUCGCAUAAAGCGACCGGACCAACAAUUCGUGGGUGAAAUCGACAUGUCCAACGAACGCAC